rnacentral:lncRNA from 1 species
AUAUAUAUGCGACUAAGAAGGCUCAAAAAAUAGAAAAGAAAUAAAGAAAUAAACUGAAAGAAAAUAAAAUCACCUUUGUUUUUUGAUUUUGAUUCUAUGUGUUUCGUUUCUUCCGAUUUGAUGCUUUUUGAUUUGCUAUUGUGUGCUUUUUACUCUCUAAUUUUUGUUCGUAUUUUAAAGUCGAGUAUUGUUUCUAUUUCUCACAAAAAUGCCGAAAAAGAAACAAUGGUUAUUGAUUGGCUUUUUAUAGCCAUUUACAAUGAAAAAUUUUUAUUGUUUCUACUGUCCUUUCUUCAUCUCUCUACAGGCGCAAGUGGAUGCACUGACUGGGGCGGUGGAGUGGGUGGCCAACUGGCAUGGGGCGAUUGGACAGGGGUCAGAGGCGGCAGUAGCUUGAUUUAGGGGUUUUUUUUCUUAUUUGUUGAUUUUGGGUAUUG